AGCCACAGCCAUACCAGCCUGCAGCCCAAGAUUGGUUACUUACUUAAGCUAGGCAGGACUGAUACUGGUCAGAACCUGGAUGGGAGACCACACUGGAAAACUAGAUUGCUGUUGGAA
rnacentral:rRNA from 1 species